rnacentral:rRNA from 1 species
UACACGCUGUGACUAGCAUAUCAAUAAGCGGAGGAAAAGAAACUAACAAGGAUUCCCCUAGUAACGGCGAGUGAAGCGGGAAGAGCUCAAAUUUGAAAUCUUAAAGGGUUUCCCUUUACGAAUUGUAGUUUAAAGAAGUGUUUUCUGUUGAGGUUUUGGUAAAAGUUCUUUGGAAUAGGACAUCAUAGAGGGUGAGAAUCCCGUAUUUGACCUUUACUUUCAACUUUGUGAUACACUUUCAAAGAGUCGGAUUGUUUGGGAAUGCAGUCCAAAAUGGGUGGUAAAUUUCAUCCUAAAGCUAAAUAUUGGCGAGAGACCGAUAGCGAACAAGUACCGUGAGGGAAAGAUGAAAAGAACUUUGAAAAGAGAGUUAAACAGUACGUGAAAUUGUCAAAAGGGAAGCGUUUGACACCAGUGUUGUUUUUCUGAAAAUCAAUUAAAGAACUGUUUAUGCUAAGUUGUUUAGACUUUAUCAGCUAACUGUUUAGUUUUGAGCUUUCUUUAAUGCACUUUUCAGUUAACAAGUCAACAUCAAUUUCUUUUGCUGUAAAAAAGCUUGAGGAAGGUGGCUUGAGAUUCGUCUUAAGUGUUUAUAGCCUCUUGCCUAUGCAGUCGGAGAGAUUGAGGUCUGCAGCGUAGAUCCUUCGGGGCUAAAUGCAUUUGUGCUAAGUUAUAGCAUUUUAUAGACAACUUGUUGACUAUGAUUUGUCUUGUAGCUUACUCGCUUAUGUUAUUUUACCUACGCUUAGGAUGUUGAGUCGUAGAGCACGCAG